rnacentral:rRNA from 1 species
GAUGAACGCUGGCGGCGUGCCUAAUACAUGCAAGUCGAGCGAACGGACGAGAAGCUUGCUUCUCUGAUGUUAGCGGCGGACGGGUGAGUAACACGUGGAUAACCUACCUAUAAGACUGGGAUAACUUCGGGAAACCGGAGCUAAUACCGGAUGAUAUUUUGAACCGCAUGGUUCAAAAGUGAAAGACGGUCUUGCUGUCACUUAUAGAUGGAUCCGCGCUGCAUUAGCUAGUUGGUACGGUAACGGCUUACCAAGGCAACGAUGCAUAGCCGACCUGAGAGGGUGAUCGGCCACACUGGAACUGAGACACGGUCCAGACUCCUACGGGAGGCAGCAGUAGGGAAUCUUCCGCAAUGGGCGAAAGCCUGACGGAGCAACGCCGCGUGAGUGAUGAAGGUCUUCGGAUCGUAAAACUCUGUUAGUAGGGAAGAACAUAUGUGUAAGUAACUGUGCACAUCUUGACGGUACCUAAUCAGAAAGCCACGGCUAACUACGUG